ensembl:lncRNA
UAAAAAUCUUAUAAUUUUUAUUGUGUUUGUUGAGGAAAACUGGCCCUGAGCUAACCUCUGUUGUCAAUCUUUCUUUCCUUUGCUUGAUGGAGAUUGUUGUCGAGCUAACAUCUGUGCCAAUCUUCCUCCAUUCCAUAUGUGAGAUGUCACCACAGCAUGGCUUGAUGAAUUGUGUGUAGGUCUACACCUGGGGUAUGAACCCACAAACCCUGGGCUACCGAAGCGGAGAGUGUGAACUUAACCACUAUGCCACUGGGCCAGCUCCAAUCUUAUAAUUUUAUAUAUAAAUUAUACUUCAAUAAAGCUGAAAUUUAAAAGAAAGAAAGAAAAUCAAAGAAUCUGCAGUGACAAUGCUUUUUGGAAAUAUUAAGGAAGAGGUCCAAACACUAGCGUGAAGGAUUCAUUAGAUGUUGACAGUUGUAAAGGAAUUCUGUUAGUAUCCACAAUAGGGUGUGUGUCAGUCUUUGUCCAUUUCCAGCAGCCAUUGAUGAGUGAAGGACUACACAGUCUCUCAUGGGUGGCCAUGACUUUCCCCUCUAGAGCCGACCAGAGCUGAUCACCAUGAUCUGGGGAUAUAAUUGUGAUGUUUCUUGGGCUGUAGAGCAGUGAAAAUUACACCGUUGCUAACGAGCAGUCAGGAAAACACCAGAGAACCAAGAAACAUAUGUUUUCUCAGGCUCAAACCUCUGGAGAAUCCCCCUAGAUCCAUAAUGUGGUGAUCAUUCUGAACACUCUAAUAUGCUGAAACCUCUGCCCAGAGUGGUUAGAGGCACAUAGUUUGCAUAUCUUGAUAAGGUUUCUAGAAAUCUAAAGUUGUGAUAACUUUAUUUAGCUCCUUCCAAUGUUAAGAUCUUUUCCUGUCAUACCUCUUUGAUCUAAAAUAUUGCUGUACUGUCAGCUCAUUUCCUUCUCUUUGUGUUACCCAGAGUCUAACACAUUUUUAUCUUCGUGUAUGAAAAGUUAAAUAAAUUAAAGUAAAUCUCUAUGCAUUGUGGCUGCCCCAAAAUGAAAAUCUCAUACGGACCUAGUCACCUCCAUUGAAACCUAACCUAUCUGGUGUCCCAUCCAUUCUCAAGACCUUUAAAUAUUUACUACAUAUAUUAAUUCCUGAAGAUUUGUGUAAAGGCUCUUCAAUCUGAGGUAGCACUUGCAUUUUGGUGGCUCAUUUUGCAGCCUCUACAUCUUAUUCCAAAGAACUAACUGGGAGUUUGAGGAGACACAUUUUAAAGAACCCCAAACACUAUCCUAUUACAUUCUUUUAUCAUGCCUGGAUAAACGUCUACUCUGGCCCACCUAUAAUAAAGAAAGUAGACUAUUUUUUCAACAAAGGUGACUUGACAGUAUUUCCAACCCUUUAUCUUCUGUUCUCUUUCAAGACACCCCUAAGUCACCUAUUCGCACACAUCUCUUCUUUUGGAAAGAAGAGUUAUGAUACAGGGCAAGACUGUACUGAUGCUAAGACUUUCAGACUACUAUUGAGUUUCUUUCCUCAGCGUUUGAUGUUUCACUGGCUGGCUGGCUCAGUAUUCACGAUGCUUUGUCAGUGUCUCAAGUUAUGUUUGGAAAAGAACUUGUCCAAAUUCUCCAUUUCUCCUCCACUCACUGCAAUUGGCGGUGGCAUGGCAAUUCUCUUCAAGGUAAACAUGAAGAAACCCGAAGGCGAUAAUACUCGCCUUUCAGUUGGAGUAAUUACCUGGCCUCUACCAACUGCAGACUUGUGCGUGUUGAUAGGACUCAUUCGACAGGUUCUUUUUUAAAAUAGGUAAUGAUCCUUUAAAGGAUGAAACCCUACUUCAUAACAUGCAAUUUUGCUAACCACUCUGUUUAGAAAACCGGGUUCCCUCUGGUUUCCCAGCGCUGGUAGCUCCGCUUGACGCAUGAAGUUGGGGCUGCCUCGGUCAUGCCACUUUAGAUUACUGGAUCUCACAGGAUGCUACAAGGCAGACACACCCCAGGCUGACUCACUGAGUGGGAAGUUUAAAAAGAUGGUUUUCCUCAGCCAUCAAUUAGAUAAACCACAUUUUCCAGGAGAAAAACAGCAUCUUGAAAAGCUCUUUACAAACAAAGCUCGCUUGCUCAGAAUGCUUUCGGUCAUGUUUUCUUGUGAAGGGAAGUAUGACUUUAACCUUAAUUGCACUUACAAAUUAGCAAGUAAAGUAUAAUGCCACCCUUUCCCCUCUUCCUUCCUUCCUUCUUUUUUUUUUUUUCCUCAGAAGGAGACACUUUCAUGAUUUUAGCUUUGGUAAAAUUAGAGCAUUCUUCCUCUUGGCCACUUCCCUCAAAUUUGUGGUUUUGACCAACCACUUGGUGAGCAAGUUAUAGACGCAGGCCUGAAUUCUCUUUCCUCUGCCCCACUUACAUUUCUUUGUACAGUUUUCCCUACCUUUUUUGCGACCUUCUUGAAAAUACACUGAGGAAAGGACAUUUGUAGAUUGUACCAUUUUGAAAAUGGCGAUUUGGAUUGAAGAUGUAUGUCAGGAAGAAUUAAGCACUGAAAAGCGAUUUGAACCUCCUCGCCUCAUCUUUUUCCAGUGCUGGCUGCACGUGGAAAGUACUGGAUAAAUGUCUCCCACUGAAUUGUAAGAUUCCCAAGGACAAAGGACGUGUUAGUGGUUUCCAUCGCCUGUAUACAGUGUACCUAACACACAUUGAGUAAUAUUUUCAAAAGCAGACCAUCUUCAUCAUGUAAAAGAAUAAAUAAGAGAAACACCACGCAAUUGAAUAUUUUGCACAGAACCUUAUUUCCUUACUCACCUGAAACUUGAGACCAAGGUGACACAGAUAUUCUGGGCCUGAGGACCCCUUGCACGUAAUUUUGAUAGAGACAUCUCUUGGAUCUGAGACCAGUAGGUGAUUAUCACAGUCCCCUUGCUGCACUCCUCUUGUGAGGGAAAGCUGCUGUUGGGUAUGUGGAUGCUAGGGAUCCGGGAACACGAAGGCAUCACCCUGCUUGCUGGUCUUGUAGAACUUUGUCUGCACUGGAGUCAACUUACAGCAGCCAAAGAAUUUUGAUGUCUCCGGAAAGGCCAUACUGGGUAAGAAAAUGGGAAGAAUGAAACAAGUGACGGCACGUUCCCUCCUGGGAGUUUCCUAUUACAGACCCUUAUCCCUGCCCGCCCUACCAUUCUAAGUCUCAGCUCCAUUCAGUUGUGUGCUCCUGGAAAGCUUCAUAAUAAAGACAAUGUGGCCCACUUAAAGUUUGUAGUCCAACUGCAAAUUGACCCUCGAUACCUUUUGGAAGUGAUGCUCUUCUCUCUACCUAGCAUUCCUCCUUAACCAUCCUACUUGCCUGCCAUCUUCAUCAAUUUGUUUGUCUUCCAGAAAUAUCAGUGGACAAUACAGUCACCUGCAGUGGGCGCUCACCUGGAGGGCAAGGGAUGGCCCAUGGGCAUCAUUGGCUCCGCCCACAAAGGGCUCCAUGGUGUCUUGAUUUCCUCAUUUUUCUGUGAAAAUUGAUAUAGACAACAUAUAUUAAGCACUUACUAUGUUCUAGUAGCUAUCAUCACAACAGUGCUUGAGGUAGUAACUAUUAUUAUCCACAUUUUACUGAUGUGAAAGCUAAGGGGGCUAACUAGUUUCUCAAGGCCACCAGUAAAUGUCAGCUGAAUGUGGCAGAGCUGGCUUACUAACCAUGGUUGUCCCUUUCCAGAACCCAGGCUCUGAAGCAUCUCUUUCUUUAUUCUCUUCUGAUAAAAAUGGAUGUAUCUCCUCCAAGCCCUAUAUGUGUUAUUUAUAUUUUUAUUAUACAUUUGUUAUCAGAAUCCCGUUUUCUGAAAUUCUUUGUAAUUGU